rnacentral:misc_RNA from 1 species
UAAAGUGAUAAGACAGUGUUGUCAGACGGUCGCAAUUUCGCUCCCAACGCUGGUAAACAGCUGAUGGCACAGUUAGGCACACUUGUUGAAAGAAAGAAUUCUGGAAUUAUUAUAUACAAUAAGACAAUAUUAUGUUGGACAAAGUUAAGAACGUGAUUAUAGUGCUCUCUGGAAAGGGUGGAGUGGGAAAGUCGACUGUUAGCACACAACUGGCGCUGGCACUACGCCACUCCGGACACAAGGUGGGCCUGCUGGACAUAGAUCUGUGUGGUCCCAGUGUACCGUUCUUGCUGGGCCUCGAGGGGAGCAAUAUUUACCAGUGCGACGAAGGCUGGGUCCCCAUUUACACGGAUGCGAGCAAAACUCUGGCCGUGAUGUCGAUUGGAUUUCUGCUAAAGAAUCGCACGGAUCCCGUGAUUUGGCGUGGUCCCAAAAAGACCAUGAUGAUACGCCAAUUCCUCACCGAUGUCAAGUGGGAGGAGCUGGACUAUUUGAUCAUCGACACGCCACCCGGAACCUCCGACGAACACAUAACCGUCAUGGAGUGCAUGCGUGAAGUGCCCUGCAAUGGUGCCAUCAUUGUAACAACGCCACAGAGCGUGGCGCUGGACGAUGUGCGCAAGGAGAUAACAUUCUGCAAGAAGACGGGCAUCAAGCUUCUGGGUAUUGUCGAGAAUAUGAGCGGAUUUGUUUGCCCCAAUUGCACAAACUGCACCAAUAUCUUCUCCUCGAACGGCGGCGUGGAGCUGGCGCAUCUCGUUCAGAUACCACAUCUCGGCACUCUGCCCAUUGAUCCACGCGUGGGCGUGCUUGCCGGCUCGACAGCUUCUGUGCUGGACGAGUUGCCCGAUUCGCCAACGGCCCAAGUGCUGAGGGGAAUAGUUCAGCACUUGGUUGCCCUAACAUAGAUUAAAAACUGAUUGGAUUGUUGAUGGAGUAAUUAGAGACGAACGAAUGCCCAUUCAGAUUCUGUUGAAAUUUCGGCGUGUUUCCCCAUUUGGCAAUCGUGUUGAACCAUCAUCAUGUGGAAUUGUCGCAUUGUGUUUGCCGAGAAUUAUCAUAUUUACGUACAUUUUAUCACAUUUGAUGGGGCAGAUACUCGCAUGGGCAUUAGUAAUGCGGUAGCAAUUAGUGAUCACUGAUGGUCACUGAACUGAUGACUGAAUGGUCACUGAUUCCAUGGUUGAAUUGUUCUUCUUCUUUUUUUUUACUAAUAU